rnacentral:rRNA from 1 species
CGCGUAGGCGGACACUUAAGUCAGGGGUGAAAUCCCGGGGCUCAACCUCGGAACUGCCUUUGAUACUGGGUGUCUUGAGUGUGAGAGAGGUGUGUGGAACUCCGAGUGUAGAGGUGAAAUUCGUAGAUAUUCGGAGGAACACCAGUGGCGAAGGCGGCUUACUGGUCCAUUACUGACGCUGAGGUGCGAAAGCGUGGGGAGCAAACA